CAAGUAAUAAUAAGAUCGAUGAUUCGAUGCAACCUUUUCUUGACCAAUGUUUCAAUGUAAUUUAAUCCUUUUAACCUUAAUAUCCUAAAUUAAACUCGAGUCAUGGAAUGUGUCAUACUCUUCAUAAUUUAAUCUGAGUUUUCUUGAUCAAUGAGUAGACUAUAUGAAACAAAUCACUAUUUGAGCAUGGCCAUGCAUUUCAUAGUCCUACUCAAUCAAGAGGCCUAUGGAUAUCACCCCUAAUAUAUAGGAAGGUUAAAUCCCAUCUAGAUCACUCAUAUUCCUCACACGAUUCAUGAUGUACCCAAUAAUCACCUUUAUAGUCCACCCUAUUAAAGGGGACAUUUGAUGAUAUCAAAGUACAU
rnacentral:lncRNA from 1 species